rnacentral:rRNA from 1 species
UGCCAGCCGCCGCGGUAACACGUAGGGGGCGAGCGUUGUCCGGAUUUAUUGGGCGUAAAGAGCUCGUAGGCGGUUCAGUAAGUCAGAUGUGAAAGUCCAAGGCUCAACCUUGGAAAGCCAUUUGAUACUGCUGUGACUUGAGUCCGGUAGGGGAGCGUGGAAUUCCUGGUGUAGCGGUGAAAUGCGCAGAUAUCAGGAGGAACACCAGCGGCGAAGGCGGCGCUCUGGGCCGGUACUGACGCUGAGGAGCGAAAGCAUGGGGAGCGAACAGGAUUAGAUA